rnacentral:rRNA from 1 species
AGCAGUCGCCGCGUAAUACGAAGGGUGCAAGCGUUACUCGGAAUUACUGGGCGUAAAGCGUGCGUAGGUGGUGGUUUAAGUCCGUUGUGAAAGCCCUGGGCUCAACCUGGGAAUUGCAGUGGAUACUGGGUCACUAGAGUGUGGUAGAGGAUAGUGGAAUUUCCGGUGUAGCAGUGAAAUGCGUAGAGAUCGGAAGGAACAUCUGUGGCGAAGGCGACUAUCUGGGCCAACACUGACACUGAGGCACGAAAGCGUGGGGAGCAAACAGGAUUAGAUACCCCCGUAGUCCCUGUCUCUUAUACA